rnacentral:rRNA from 1 species
UACGGAGGGGGUCAGUGUUGUUCGGAAUUACUGGGCGUAAAGGGCGCGCAGGCGGCUUGGCAAGUCGAGUGUGAAAGCCCUUGGCUUAACUAAGGAAUGGCGCUCGAAACUACCUCGCUAGAGGACGGGAGAGGGAAGUGGAACUCUCGGUGUAGGGGUGAAAUCUGUAGAUAUCGAGAGGAACACCGGUGGCGAAGGCGGCUUCCUGGCCCGUUCCUGACGCUGAGGCGCGAAAGCGUGGGGAGCAAACAGG